AUUCGCAACGAAAUCACCAUAAUUGCGAUUAUUGCGCCAAAGCAUUGGUUAACUACAACGUCAUAGAUAUUUUUAUAAAAUGAAAUAAAUUAUAAAUUGACCUUUGGUAUUACCAAUACUUAAACUAUUAGUUGAAUUUAACGUUAACUACCUUUUGCAGUAGGUGUGUGUGAUCUUAGCGACAGGUAUGGGCAAAAUAUGAACGAGGAAACAAGCAACGAUUAUGAUUGCAGUUGUUUGCACAGCCACAGAUGAAUCGAUCUUUGUUUCGAUAAAAUAAAGAAGGAAUUGUGAAGUAGAUUUGUUGUUAAUGUUUUUCGAUUACUUUAAACUUGUUUGCGUUUUAUGAUGUUAAAAAACUUUUAGGAAUAUAUCUGUAUGAAUAGUUUGGGUGCAAAUCAGUCAUAGAGUCAAUAUUUGUUCGUAUAGAAUUUUAUUUUUCUUUUUUUCUACAAUCAGACAUACUGUAUAUAUAAAACAAGCAAUAGAUAUUCGCGAAUUAAAUUUAUUGUUUGCCUCUUAAUUAUUAAAUAAUUAUUGCGCAUUUGAGUCAGUGCAUCAGAGAAGAUGAUCAAGGACCUAUUACACUUCUAUAGAAGAAUAUUGAUUUGCAUUGUCAUUAAGUCAAUGUAUUACAAAUUCAAUCUAAUUAAUUUUCCAUCUACGUCGAUUUAUUUCAUUUUGGACUUAUUACGGAACAGUUUACAUAAAUUUCGAGCUACAACGGGGCAAGUGUUUCGGAGCUAUUGUGAAUCUUAAGCAGUAUAAUACAUAAAAUUCUAUGAGUCGACGAAGUUGGAAAUAUAAAGCACAGUGAAGAUCAUGUGUUAUAUUUUGCUGUUUUUCUUAUGUAGUCGAUAGGUAAGUGUGUUGUUAAAAAAAAAGGUCAAGUUUGUUUUGAUAUAUGAAGGAACGUAAAUACGAAUAAAUCUUCUGUUACAUUAUCAGAAAUGACAUUGUUAAUGGUUCUCGGAAAUUUGUUUUCGUGUACAACUUUAUGAGAGAAUUGUGCCUGGGAUGAUGUACCAUGGUAUAGAUGACCUCUCCUACUCAGAAUGAUACGAUACCUACACGCAAUAACAUUCUCGGCUAUUCUUCUGUUGUAUUAUGAUUGCAGUUGUUCGUGCAGACAUAGAUGAAUCGAUCUUUGUUUCGAUAAAGUAAUGAAAGAAUUGUGAAGUAGAUUUGUUGUUAAUGUUUUUCAGUUAAUUUAAAUUUGUUUGCAUUUUAUGAUGUUAAAAAACUUUUAUGAAUAUGUCUGUAUGAAUAAUUUGGGUCCAAAGCAGUCAUAGAAUCAAUAUUUGUUCAUAUAAAAUUUUAUUUUUCUUUUUCUCUACAAUCAGAUAUACUGUAGAUACUUAUAUAUAAAACAAGCAAUAGAUAUUCGCGAAUUAAAAUCAUUGUUUGCAUCUUAAUUAUUAAAUAAUUAUUGCGCAUUUAAGUCAGUGCAUCAUGGAAGAUGAUCAAGGACCUAUUACACUUCUGUAGAAGAAUAUUGAUACUCACGACCCACCAAGGCCCUACCCGCUCAGCCUCGGUGUAUGCAGUGCUCCCCACUUACAUCACAGAAUCCACCCCACCACCUCAGAUUUGGGCCAGCGGUGGACCAGUGAGAAAGCACCACGUGCCGCCGAACGCUGAGUGACUUGGACAUAUAUGAGACUGCACAAAGCACCUCCAUGGUUGUUGCUUCGGAUCUUCCGAUGAGUAGACAUCUCUUGAGAGAGUCGAGACGAAUCACGCGCAUCUCUUGAGUUUAGAGUUUUCAUCUGCACGCGUAAAUGUACAAUUAGUUAUAUUUUCAAAUAAAAGUUUUGUUUUUUUUGAACGUCUCAAUUUAGUAACCCCGGUUGUAUUCGUAACGGUUCCUUUCAUCGCGCAUGUCUUUAACUCAGGAGCUAGUUUUCGCGACGCAGUCGACAAAUUCAACGCGACAGUGCAAUUUGUUCAUCCUCUACCGCACAGGUAGAAAUCCUAUUAAUCCGCUUACCCAUCCUCAUUGCUCUCGUAUAUCGUGGUGGCAGGAAGUACCAAUUGCGUCGCUUAUUAAAGGAAUUCUAUUACGAAACGAAAAAUAACAACGACGCACUGGAUAUCGAACCUGUGGAAGAGAAAGAAGAGAACUUUCACAUCUGAUCUUUAUUUAAGAAUUAUGCAGUCAUCCAGAAGGUGAAUUCCUCCACUGGACCUUCCAGGCUUGGUUGCUAGGACUCCGAGGUAUUUGGAGAUAAAGCUUCAGCAUCGUCUGAAAUCACCCUCCCAAGAGGUAAGAGAGCGUUUGCAACGUCGCUUUAAUACUCUGGUGCCAAUCCCGAGUCAAAAGAACUGCCCAGGCAGGUAACGGCCGAAAAGGCACAAGAUCUCGUGAAAGCCGGAGCUUCAUAGAAAAUUAGUUUUAUUAAGGAUCGUACGUAGUGUCAGUUUAUUAAGGAUCAUACGUAACAUGUCAGAAAUAAAAGUCGGUGACAGUUGUGGGAUUACGAAAAGAAACAGAAUGUCGAACGAAAAGCAAUCGCAAUCGAAAUCCACCGGCAAAAUUGAAACGCGAAGCGGUGUUAGACGCGUUAACGAGAACGAGUACUAAGAAAUUAGCCGUAGACUUCGACAAAAAGAAAUACAUAUUCUAGAGCGUCAGAAAGCUCUAUCCGAACGUGAAGAACUAACUAAGAAACUAGACAAUUAAACCAGAUUUCACCUCGUUCAAAUCUUCAUUGCGGGAAAUAUUAAACGCACAGCGACAGGUAGAUGAUAGGCGGAGGGGCUCACGCCGUUGCGAAGCACGUGAUUUAUCAAUUCGCGCAGCUGUGGACGCUGUUUCGACCUACGAUGGGCGAAAUAUAACGAUAAAUAAUUUUAUUCGAGCAUGCAAACGCGCUCCUGAAUUAACACCGCCAAAUAGUAAGGCAAUAGUAACUCGUCUCAUUAUAAAUAAUCUUAGGGAUUUAGCUUACAUCGCCGUAGGAGAUCGGGAAAUACUUACGCUAGACGAUCUAUGCAACAUGCUACGCAGGAGUUUCUUCAGGAUAAGGUUAAAAUCGCACCUAACAACAGUAUAUGGCCGAAUUAAGUAACAUCUGCAUGGAACUCGACGAGCAUAUUUUGCAAUACAUAAAUAGAAUUAAAGAUUUACAGCAGGCAAUUUACAAGGAAGAGAGACUUAAAGAUAAUGAGUUAUCGGAAGAGAAUAUUAUCGAGAUAGAGGAAUUUUCACUGGUAAGUUUCUGCGAAGGUCUUCCGCGAAAUGGUAGGAUAGAAAUCAAACCAACUGCAGGGACAUAUUCGAUGCAUAUGAGAAGGCACAGGAACAUUAUCUGAUGAUUGAGCAAGACCGACUGCAUCAUCAAAGAUAUAAACAAACCAAACUUCUUAGGGAUAGACCGUUAAACAGUAGUAGAAUGGAAACUAGGGAUAGACAAUCGCGAGAGAUAAAUUUCAAGCCGACGCCAAAAUUUUGUGCGCACUGUAACAAGAUCGGUCACGUGAAAGAGAUCAUUAAAUACAAAGAAUUUUUGAUGUAAUCAAAGUAUGUUAUAAAGUUCAUAUUUUAUAAAAUGUUUGUUAAUUUAAAAACAGGAUUGUAAUAUCAUUAGAUAUAAUUGUUUUAGAGCAAGACAUUUAGAUUAGGAUCUACGCGAUUCAUCCUCUACUCUUACUUGUGCGAUUUUCAUAAAAAUAUUUGUCAUGCAGAUUUCAUCUUUUGAAGAGUUGAUUGAAUUUCAUCAAAUGUUAAUUCCUAAUCAGAUUCAUUGCUUUUAAAUAGAAUAUUUUGGAUUGUUGCGAUCAUCAAUGGCAAACUGACUUUAAUACAAUUCUAACAAAACAUUUCUAUGAAAAUUAUAUUCUCUAACCUUCCACAUAAAGUAUUAUUAAUUAUAACAUGAUAAAUGAUUUUAAUACUUUUUUAUUAUGACAAUAAUUAGAAUACAUAACAUAAUUUUUACGCAAGAUUACACUAUGCUUGAUUUCGUAUUAUCGGAUUGUUCAAAAUGUCUUUUCAUUAAUCAAUCAAUUUUUUUCUGUAAUCUUAUCUCCGGUAUGAACAAUAUACAAAGAAGAAUAAACAAGAUAGCAUUUUUAACAUUAGCAAGCUAAAAAUUAUUUUAAAAAUACAAUUUAAAUAUAGAAGGUGUCGAUAAGGCUAAUCAAUAUGCAAAUUCAUAUUGUUUAAUGAGAAAUUCGUGUAAUUGGCGGAGAAAUUUUUUUUGGGGGGAUUAGAGAUAUGCGCAAACUGUAGCUAAUACAAGGUGUGAGUUAGAAGAGAAAACUAAACGCCUAAGUCACAUUUUAUGUUUGUUCGGAGAUUGCGGGAACAACUUAUACGUGAUUUUCGUGAUGGAGCAUCUUUAAUAGUUACAGCAGAUCGAACAAUAACAAAAUAGACUAUUAUGUUUAUUAUAACUGUUGUAGGUUCCAACAUUACUAUAACUCAUAGGUACAUUUUAAUUUCAAAAUCAAAAAUGCAUAAAAAAGAAAGUAUAUUUUUUAAUUAUUUUAACAUUAUUUUUCUAUACUUUUGGAGAUGAGCCAUACGCAGAAUGAUGAUGAUUCCAAGCACGCCCGUAUCGAAUAGCAUUAUAAAAACAAAUCCGUAUAUACCCAAGAUGAAUAAUGCAAACACAUGAGAAAAUGGAAAGUUCAUAAUUCAUACAUUAUUAAAGAAAAGUUGUAGGCAAAUAUAUUUAACUUUAAAAAUUUCUCGAAAAAAUUUAAUUGACCCUUUGUUUAAAUCAUUUCAAUUCUUUUAUUUCAAUUAUUUCAGAGAAAUAAGUAUGCGGUCAAAUAGGAAUUCAAUUAGCGUUAAAUAUGAUUUUAAUGGAAACAAUAUAAAAAUUAA